UACGUAGGGGGCUAGCGUUGUCCGGAAUCAUUGGGCGUAAAGAGCGUGUAGGCGGCCCGGUAAGUCCGCUGUGAAAGUCGGGGGCUCAACCCUCGAAAGCCGGUGGAUACUGUCGGGCUAGAGUGCGGAAGAGGCGAGUGGAAUUCCUGGUGUAGCGGUGAAAUGCGCAGAUAUCAGGAGGAACACCAAUUGCGAAGGCAGCUCGCUGGGACGUAACUGACGCUGAGACGCGAAAGCUAGGGGAGCAAACGGG
rnacentral:rRNA from 1 species